AACGAACGCUGGCGGCAGGCCUAACACAUGCAAGUCGAGCGAACCCUUCGGGGUUAGCGGCGGACGGGUUAGUAACGCGUGGGAAUAUACCCUUUGGUACGGAAUAGCCUCGGGAAACUGAGAGUAAUACCGUAUGUGCCCUUGGGGGAAAGAUUUAUCGCUAAAGGAUUAGCCCGCGUUGGAUUAGAUAGUUGGUGGGUAAUGGCCUACCAAGUCUACGAUCCAUAGCUGGUUUGAGAGGAUGAUCAGCAACACUGGGACUGAGACACGGCCCAGACUCCUACGGGAGGCAGCAGUGGGGAAUCUUAGACAAUGGGCGCAAGCCUGAUCUAGCCAUGCCGCGUGGACGAUGAAGGCCUUAGGGUUGUAAAGUCCUUUCAGAUGGGAAGAUAAUGACGGUACCAUCAGAAGAAGCCCCGGCUAACUCCGUG
rnacentral:rRNA from 1 species